UUUGCUUCAGCUCUUGGACGUGGUUCGAUCUCAAGCACAGAGAGGUCUCCUUGACCCGGUCUUUGGCCCCGAUCCACCAAGAGGCCCGGUGACGACGAGGGCAGGAAGCGACACACAUUAAGGAACCAAAUCCUCCUCUUUGUGCGUUUUGUGCCGAACAAGACGACGGUGCCAGAUGGUCCCUGGCGCUCCACAAGUGCCACCGUCGUCUGGCUGCCUCCGAGGCGCUGUCACUGAACAGAUCCUACGGAGAGGCAAUUUGGCUCCUCGACAAGCCGCGCGAGAAACAAACGAGAGAGUUGCAAACAUUACAGGUUUCCGGAGAGAAAAGAAAGAACAUUUCGGAACUCUUUGCUCCCCUGUUUUCCCUUCUCUUUGGAUAGAAAGAGAAGUGGAUCUUGAUAGAAAGAGCCGCCCAAGUUGCAAAGCCCUGAGCUGCGCAGAUGUCCAAAGAAACACGCGGUUGCUUCUUUGCCGCAUUUCCAACCAAUCGGCAGAGCCGCAUCUGGUCUCCUCUUCUCCAAAGGGAAGGCAACGAGAGUCGCCGGGGGCGAGAAAGCACUGAAGAGGCCUAGCAUCUGCAGCUCCCAUGGUACUCUUGCCCUGAGCCAUGGCAGUACCUGUGGUUCCAAACUGAAUCAAUUCCGCAGUGUAGACGCAUCGAUCUAUGCUCCAAUGUAUCUCCAUCUCUGCAUUUGGACGAGGAUCACCGUUUGCGAGCUGCCAAGCUCUCUGCUCUUCACCAGAUCUCUUCCAAAGCGUGUUGUCCUCACCCUCCACCGGCAGAGAAGAGGAAGUCGGUUGUAGAGACAGGAAGUGAUCUCCCCGUUUCCCUCCGUGUUGCCUUCUCUCUCUUUCUUGUUCUCUUUUGCAAGCGAAGGCCUUUAUAACCAGCGGCCCUGCUCCCUUGUCUCCCCAAAUCCGUUUCAAGUACCUGGAUGUUUAAUAUCCUUUGAUGUUGAAAGUCAAGAGAUAAAAAAUGGACAGAUGCUUCUUUUGGGUCGCACUGAAAUGUAAAUGAAGCCCUACCAAAAAAAUAAAAUAAAAAGAGAGCGAAAGAGGGAGGGAAGGAGGGAGAAACCCACAAAGU